rnacentral:rRNA from 1 species
AUUGAACGCUGGCGGCAUGCUUUACACAUGCAAGUCGAACGGUAACAGGGAGCUUGCUCCGCUGACGAGUGGCGAACGGGUGAGUAAUGCGUCGGAACGUGCCGAGUAGUGGGGGAUAACGCAUCGAAAGGUGUGCUAAUACCGCAUACGUACUGAGGUAGAAAGUGGGGGACCUUCGGGCCUCACGCUAUUCGAGCGGCCGACGUCUGAUUAGCUAGUUGGUGAGGUAAAGGCUCACCAAGGCGACGAUCAGUAGCGGGUCUGAGAGGAGUGACCGCCACACGGGGACUGAGACACGGCCCAGACUCCUACUGGAGGAAGCAGUGGGGAAUUUUGGACAAUUGGCGCAAGCCUGAUCCAGCCAUGCCGCGGGUCUGAAGAAGGCCUUCGGGUUGUAAAGGACUUUUGUCCGGGAGCAAAUGCCUGGUGUUAAUAGCACUGGGAGCUGAGAGUACCGGAAGAAUAAGCACCGGCUAACUACGUGCCAGCAGCCGCCGUAACAC